AUUGAACGCUGGCGGCAGGCCUAACACAUGCAAGUCGAGCGGAGCGGCGGACGGGUGAGUAAUGCCUAGGAAUCUGCCUGGUAGAGGGGGAUAACGUACGGAAACGGGCGCUAACACCGCAUACUAUCAGAUGAGCCUAGUUCGGAUUAGCUAGGUGGUGGGGUAAAGGCUUACCAAGGCGACGAUCCGUACCUGGUCUGAGAGGAUGAUCAGUCAAAGUGGAACUGAGACACGGCCCAGACUCCUACGGGAGGCAGCAGUGGGGAAUAUUGGACAAUGGGCGAAAGCCUGAUCCAGCCAUGCCGCGUGUGUGAAGAAGGUCUUCGGAUUGUAAAGCACUUUAAGUUGGGAGGCGUUACCAACAGAAUAAGCACCGGCUAACUUCGUGCCAGCAGCCGCGGUAAUUC
rnacentral:rRNA from 1 species